UCCGGNUGAUCCNGCCGGAGGNCACUGCUUUUGGGGUUCGAUUAAGCCAUGCGAGUCGAGAGGGUUCGGCCCUCGGCGUACUGCUCAGUAACACGUGGAUAACCUGCCCUAGGGAAGGGGAUAAUCCCGGGAAACUGGGGAUAAUACCCUAUAGGUUACAGAUGCUGGAAUGCUCUGUAAUCAAAAGUUCCGGCGCCCUAGGAUGGAUCUGCGGCCGAUUAGGUUGUUGUUGGGGUAAUGGCCCAACAAGCCAGUAAUCGGUACGGGUUGUGGGAGCAAGAGCCCGGAGUUGGAUUCUGAGACACGAAUCCAGGCCCUACGGGGCGCAGCAGGCGCGAAAACUUUACAAUGCGGGCAACCGUGAUAAGGGAACCUCGAGUGCCUGUAAAUGCAGGCUGUUCAGAUGCCUAAAACACAUCUGGAGAAAGGGCCGGGCAAGACCGGUGCCAGCCGCCGCGGUAAUACCGGCGGCUCGAGUGGUGGCCACUUUUAUUGGGCUUAAAGCGUUCGUAGCUGGGUUGUUAAGUCUCUUGGGAAAUCUGGCGGCUUAACCGUCAGGCGUCUAAGGGAUACUGGCAAUCUUGGAACCGGGAGAGGUGAGGGGUACUUCGGGGGUAGGGAGUGAAAUCCUGUAAUCCUCGAGGGACCACCUGUGGCGAAGGCGCCUCACCAGAACGGCUUCAACAGUGAAGGACGAAAAGCUG
rnacentral:rRNA from 1 species